rnacentral:rRNA from 1 species
CCUACGGGAGGCAGCAGUGGGGAAUCUUGCGCAAUGGGCGAAAGCCUGACGCAGCCAUGCCGCGUGAAUGAUGAAGGUCUUAGGAUUGUAAAAUUCUUUCAGUAGGGACGAUAAUGACGGUACCUACAGAAGAAGCCCCGGCUAACUUCGUGCCAGCAGCCGCGGUAAUACGAAGGGGGCUAGCGUUGCUCGGAAUUACUGGGCGUAAAGGGAGCGUAGGCGGGUUAUCAAGUUGGAGGUGAAAGCCCAGGGCUCAACCUUGGAAUUGCCUUCAAAACUGAUAGCCUAGAGUAUGAUAGAGGUAAGUGGAACUCCGAGUGUAGAGGUGAAAUUCGUAGAUAUUCGGAAGAACACCAGUGGCGAAGGCGACUUACUGGAUCAUGACUGACGCUGAGGCUCGAAAGCGUGGGGAGCAAACAGGAUUAGAUACCCUGGUAGUCCACGCUGUAAACGAUGAUUGUNUAGUGUCGACGGCAUGCGUCGGUGACGCAGCUACGACAUAAGACAUACCGCCGUCGGGAGGUACGGUCGCGAGAAGUUAAACGUUAAAAGGUAAAGUUAGUUACGGACGUGAGACGUAGCCGACGGACGACGACGAGGGAGGAGG